AGUGAACGCUGGCGGUAGGCCUAACACAUGCAAGUCGAACGGCAGCACAGUAAUAGCUUGCUCUUACGGGUGGCGAGUGGCGGACGGGUGAGGAAUACAUCGGAAUCUACUUUUUCGUGGGGGAUAACGUAGGGAAACUUACGCCAAUACCGCAUACGACCUACGGGUGAAAGCAGGGGACCUUCGGACCUUGCGCGAUUGAAUGAGCCGAUGUCGGAUUAGCUAGUUGGCGGGGUAAAGGCCCACCAAGGCGUAGAUCCGUAGCUGGUCUGAGAGGGUGAUCAGCCACACUGAAACUGAGACACGGUCCAGACCCCUACGGGAGGCAGCAGUGGGGAAUAUUGGACAAUGGGCGCAAGCCUGAUCCAGCCAUACCGCGUGGGUGAAGAAGGCCUUCGGGUUGUAAAGCCCUUUUGUUGGGAGAGAAAAGCAGCAGGUUAAUACCCCGCUGUUCUGACGGUACCGAAAGAAUAAGCACCGGCUAACUUCGU
rnacentral:rRNA from 1 species